rnacentral:rRNA from 1 species
AUUGAACGCUGGCGGCAGGCUUAACACAUGCAAGUCGAGCGGAGAGAGGUAGCUUGCUACUGAUCUUAGCGGCGGACGGGUGAGUAAUGCUUAGGAAUCUGCCUAUUAGUGGGGGACAACAUUUCGAAAGGAAUGCUAAUACCGCAUACGUCCUACGGGAGAAAGCAGGGAAUCUUCGGACCUUGCGCUAAUAGAUGAGCCUAAGUCGGAUUAGCUAGUUGGUGGGGUAAAGGCCUACCAAGGCGACGAUCUGUAGCGGGUCUGAGAGGAUGAUCCGCCACACUGGGACUGGGACACGGCCCAGACUCCUACGGGAGGCAGCAGUGGGGAGUAUUGGACAAUGGGCGCAAGCCUGAUCCAGCCAUGCCGCGUGUGUGAAGAAGGCCUUAUGGUUGUAAAGCACUUUAAGCGAGGAGGAGGCUACUUUAGUUAAUACCUAGAGAUAGUGGACGUUACUCGCAGAAUAAGCACCGGCUAACUCUGUGCCAGCAGCCGCGGUAAAAC